rnacentral:lncRNA from 1 species
UGCGCCUGCUGACCUCCGCGUCGGUGGACACGAUCGUCGGGCUACCGAACAGGUGAGACCUGAACACCUUCCCGUACCUGUACAGCGUCGCGGGCGUCAUGCAGGGACGGGCGAUGUACGUAUGUAUGAGGAGUUAUCGAUUGGUAUUCACGUACGUACAUGAGCCUACGCUUGUCCAUGAAUCUCUCGGGGCGAGGCGAGUAGGCGGAGGACACGAAGUGGAGGGUCUCGCCGACUAGAGGCCAACCACGGGAGCCUGCAGGGAGCUGCGCUCGUUGGUUGUUCGUCUUCUUCGUCCUCCAAGUCCGGGCGAUGGUCGCUGUCACAAGGAAUGCAAGCGACGCCACCCAU